rnacentral:rRNA from 1 species
UACAGAGGGGGCAAGCGUUGUUCGGAAUUACUGGGCGUAAAGGGCGCGUAGGCGGCCUUCUAAGUCGAACGUGAAAUCCCCGGGCUCAACCCGGGAACUGCGUCCGAUACUGGAAGGCUUGAAUCCGGGAGAGGGAUGCGGAAUUCCAGGUGUAGCGGUGAAAUGCGUAGAUAUCGGGAAGAACACCAGUGGCGAAGGCGGCUGCCUGGCCUGUAACUGACGCUGAGACGCGAAAGCGUGGGGAGCGAACCGG